GGGUGAUAAUAAAUAUCAUGCUGAACAAUAUGGAUUGCAGGAUGCUAAGAAAGGUGUGUUGUUUAUUGAUUUCCCCCCCGUCCUUCAGCUACAGCUAAAACGAUUUGAAUAUGAUUUUAUGCGGGACACUAUGGUAAAGAUUAAUGAUCGUUAUGAAUUCCCUUUGCAACUUGACCUUGAUCGAGAGAAUGGCAAAUAUUUAUCACCUGACGCUGAUAGGAGUGUUCGCAACUUAUAUACUCUUCACGGUGUUCUUGUUCACAGUGGUGGGGUUCAUGGUGGACAUUAUUAUGCUUUUAUUAGGCCAACCCUUUCCGAUCAAUGGUUCAAAUUUGACGAUGAACGGGUGACAAAAGAGGAUAUAAAGAGGGCACUAGAAGAGCAGUAUGGUGGUGAGGAAGAGUUACCAUAAGCAAAUCCCGGCUUCAACAACUCUCCAUUUAAGUUUACAAAAUAUUCAAAUGCCUACAUGCUUGUAUAUAUACGUGAAAGUGACAAGGAAAAGAUAAUCUGUAAUGUCGAUGAGAAGGACAUUGCAGAACACCUCCGGAUUAGGUUGAAAAAAGAACAGGAAGAAAAAGAACAAAAGAGAAAGGAAAAAGCUGAGGCCCACUUGUAUACUAUCAUAAAGGUUGCCUGCAGUGAGGAUCUAUUUGAACAGAUUGGGAAAGAUAUAUAUUUUGAUCUUGUGGAUCAUGCCAAAGUUCGUAGUUUCCAUAUCCAGAAACAGAUAUAUUUUAAUCUUUUCAAGGAGGAAGUUGCUAAAGAGUUUGGUAUACCAGUGCAAUUUCAACGAUUUUGGUUGUGGGCGAAGCGCCAAAACCAUACAUAUCGCCCAAAUCGACCAUUGACUCCUCAGGAGGAAGCACAAUCUGUUGGACAAUUAAGGGAGGUUUCCAACAAAGUGAAUAAUGCUGAGCUGAAGUUGUUUUUGGAAGUAGAAAUUGGACAGGUAUUGUUGAUUAUGUAUACCAUAGUCAUCUUUUCCUAUGGCUUUCCAGAUGGACAUUGAUGGAUUUUAUUUGGCACAUCCUUUAUAUCUUUUCACCAUGAUAAUCCAGGAUUUGAGGCCAAUCCCUCCACCAGAGAAGACUAAAGAUGACAUUCUUCUUUUCUUUAAACUUUAUGACCCUUUUAAAGAGGGACUACGGUAAUCUUAAUUUACAGGUUCUCUUACUUUAUGAGAAUGUAGUUAGCUGACCUUCUGUGAUGACAGGUGUGUUGGGUGGCUGUUUGUGAAGGGGAGUGGCAAGCCAUUGGAGAUAUUGACAAGGCUAAAUGAAAUGGCUGGCUUUAGUUCUGAUCAAGAGAUUGAACUUUACGAGGAAAUAAAAUUUGAACCUAAUGUCAUGUGUGAACACAUUGACAAGAAGCUCACAUUUCGUGCUAGUCAGCUUGAAGAUGGAGAUAUAAUUUGCUUUCAUAAAUCCCCUCCAGUUGGAAGUGGUGAACAAUGCCGCUGCCCUGAUGUACCUUCAUUUCUUGAAUAUGUGCAUAACCGCCAGGUUGUUCGUUUUCGAUAUUUAGAGAAGCCAAAGGAAGAUGAAUUUUGUCUUGAGCUGUAAGUCAAACCUGUAAUAUCUAUACAUUUUGGGCUCAAAAUCAAUUUAUUGUUCUUUCUUUUUACGUUGUCCAAUAAAUUUGAGGUUGAAGCUUCACAAUUAUGAUGAUGUUGUGGAAAGAGUAGCUCGCCAUCUUGGCUUGGAUGAUCCAUCUAAAAUUAGGCUUACAUCCCAUAACUGUUAUUCCCAGCAACCCAAACCCCAACCUAUCAAGUACCGAGGAGUGGAUCAUUUGUCUGACAUGCUGGUCCACUACAACCAGAUAUCUGAUAUUCUGUACUAUGAGGUACUGGAUAUCCCUCUUCCAGAAUUGCAAGGCUUGAAAACAUUGAAAGUUGCUUUUCAUCAUGCGGCCAAGGAUGAGGUGGUGAUUCAUACUAUUAGAUUGCCAAAACAGAGCACUGUAGGUGAUGUUAUUAAUGACCUUAAAACAAAGGUAGCUACCGUAACUUUGCAGUUCAGUUUAUUUAUUUAUUUCUUCCUUCCUAACAUAUUUGGUAAUUGAAGUAUGAGUUGCCUUGAUUGGUGUGCAUUGCCAUUGACCUGCUUCCUAUUAAGGGUUAGGGCAUCUUAAUUUUGAGUAGGGUGUAAAUGAACCAAUUCAAGUUUUGAAUUGCUCAGGCUUGACUCGAUAUAUUUUUUUUAGACUCGAGCUCCGCUUGUCUCAGGCUCAUUUAUAUUAUAUACGAACUAAGUUUGAGCUCGUUAAUAUUAUUAUAUUAA
rnacentral:misc_RNA from 1 species